rnacentral:misc_RNA from 1 species
AAGUUCGUAGAGAUUUUCACAUUCUUAAGUUUAUUUUGGGAUGAGGGAGUGAGGGAGGGAGUGCCAACCCAGUGCCAGGUUGGUUGCUGGCACUGGGUGUGUUGUGCUCGAUACAUGAUUAUUCAUUUGUGAAUCUUAAAUUAAUUUAUCUUCAUAACAAUGGGGAAUUACAAGUCUAGACCCAAAUCUUGCUGUUCUCAAGAACUUCUGAAGAAGAUCUUAGAAAAUUAUGCUAUUUUAGAAGAGAAGCUGCAUGAAGACCUGCACGUGGGACAUGUUUAUGACUUCACAGACUUAGAGAAAAUCAUAUGCAAUGGAACAUCAGACCAGUUGGUAAAUCGUCUGGGUUCUGAAACUCUUAGUGAAAAAUCAGACAAUGGUGUGACUCUAAUGCAGCUCUGCUGCUUAUCCUCUGUAAGUUGGAAAAACGAUGAAAUUAAAGAGAAGAAGGAAGAUAAUGGAGCAGAUGUUGGGUCCCAGGCACCUUGUUUCCUUCAACUCGUGAAACCUUCUCGUGAGAAAGCUAAUCGGAAAGAUGGAAGUCAAGAGACCAGUCAGGACAAUAAAGGUGAACCAGAUGUUGGUAAACACUUGGCAAAAAUUCAGACAAACAAAGAGAUAAAAGAUCAGAUCCGCCUCUUGUUACAGAAGGGAGCAGAUCCUGCUAUUAUCAGUAAAAAUGGGUUCUCAGCUCUCCACCUGGCAUCUUAUAAGGGUGACAUUGACUUAGUGCGACUCUUCCUGGAGAAAUGCAACCAUCUGGACCACACAGGUGCAGGGAGUGUCACUGCUCUUCAUAUAUCCUGUCUUGCCGGUCAUCUACAAGUUACUCAAGCAUUGGCUCAACGUGGUGCUAAUAUUGAAGCCCGGGAUGCCGUGUCUUUCUCCCCGUUGCAUAUAGCCUGCUUGUUUGGAAAUGAAUCUGUCGUUGAAUAUUUGCUGUCUCGUGGGGUAGAUGUUAAUAUUGCGGGAUCUGUUGGUGACCGACCGCUACAUCUGGCUGCUACGAGGGGGUAUUAUAAGAUUGUACAAAUGCUUCUAAGAAAAGGAGCAAGAGUAAGACUCCAGGAUGAGGAAGGGAACACAGCUCUCCAUUGUUGUGUACAAAAUGGACAUUUCAGCAUUCUGAAUUUACUACUUCAACCUCAGUACCGCACUGAUGCUCACAUCUCCAAUGUUUAUCUUGAUACUCCUCUACAUGUUGCAUGUUACUAUGGCUGGAUUGAGUGUGCCAAGGCUCUGCUAACAUAUGGUGGGUCAAGUCUGCUCCUGAGAGAGAAUAUGUGGGGAGAAACUGCUCUACAUGCAGCAUGUACUGGAGGACAGUGUAUAGACCUGGUGGACUAUCUGUUGAGCCAAGAUGCUACCUCAGUGAACUACCAGAGCCCAGAUGGUCACACCCCCCUGCACUCUGCAUGUUAUCACGGACACACAAGAAUAGUUCAGCUGCUUCUGAGUCACGGAGCGGACAUCAACCUCACGGCUCAUGAUCGUUUUAAUAAUUCUGAAAAAAAGGAGGAGCAGACUCCCCUGAUGUGGGCAUAUGACAGAGGUCAUGAUGAUAUUGCCAACUUCCUUAAACACUUCCGUCGUCCAGGGCUCUAUGAGGAUUAUGCCAGAGGAGAUUAUUUAUCUGGGUUGGACACUUCUUAUUUUCCCAUUCCAUCUCCUAUUGGGAAGCUGAGGACGAUGGUUCAAGAGAAGAUAGAUGUGCUUCACCUGCGGUCAGUGUUACCACCGCAUCUUCACCUUAGUCUCUCUGAGAUAGAGAGCCUAGAAAACAUAAGCUCUGGCUCAUUUGGUAAAGUCUACAAAGGAAAAUACAAUGACAAGAUUGUGGCCGUCAAAAGGUACAGAGCCCACCUGUCGUACGGAAAAAGUGACGUUGAGAUGUUUUGCCGUGAAGUCUCUGUUCUUGGGUCUUUGGAUUCUCCGUAUAUUGUCAAAUUUGUUGGGGCUUGUCUACAUGACCCCAGUCAAUUUGCCAUAGUUACUGAAUAUGUACCUGGAGGCUCUCUCUUCAGCACACUACAUGAACAGAAAAGGUCGAUAGAUACCAUAACAAGGUUUAAUAUUGCCAUAGAUGUAGCAAAUGGCAUGUACUACCUUCACACUCUCCCACAACCAAUUAUACAUAGAGAUUUAAACUCUCAUAAUAUUCUUCUCAACAAUGAGUGUCGUGCCAGAGUUGCUGAUUUUGGGGAGUCUCGAUUUGUACGCAACAUCUUCGAGGAGAAUAUGACGAAGCAGCCGGGUAACCUUCGCUGGAUGGCCCCUGAAGUGUUUACUCAGUGUACCAGAUACUCCAUCAAAGCAGACGUUUUCUCUUUUGGGCUGUGUUUGUGGGAACUUCUGGCUUCUGAACUUCCUUUUGCUCAUCUGAAACCUGCUGCUGCUGCUGCUGACAUGGCAUACAGACACAGUCGACCACCGUUAGAAUUGGCUUUCCCAGUGGAGGUAUCAGUUCUUCUAGAAAAAGCUUGGCACAAGGUGCCUGAGGAACGGCCAAAUUUUUCUCAGAUAAUAGAAGAAUUAGAAAUUUUGUGCAAGUCUCAAAAAUCGGCUCUGCAGGAUGGAGGAGACCUCGUCCACCCACACCAUCACCUACAUGCCUGCUGUGCCACUUGUUCAGUUGGCUCACCAACAGGCAGUACCACGCCCCCUGAUGCUUCUCAACACACCAAUUCAGAGCUUUCUGGUCUUUCCCUCAAUUUGAAUUAAGUUCCCAGCUGAUCGCUAUCGAGAGCAAACAUUGUAGACCGGCUCUCCCCUGGCCUGUUUAUUUACAACCAAAAGCUAAGUGCCCAUCCAUCCAUCCCCUACAUAACACAUCAAGGUUUAUUGACAGGAUCUUCCAUUGUUCUUUGAGUUAACAUUGAAGUAGGAUUGAUACUACAUCUUAUAUAUACGUACUGUAUAUAUGUACAAGUACUGUAUAUCAUUUUGUGAGGUUUGUUUACAUUAGUAUUUAGCAAUCUAUCCAUGUCUGAGUUUAUGAAUCUGUUAGGUGGUUAGUCUUUCAGCCCCUUGCCUUGUGUCAUAGAAUCUCACUGGCACAUUAUUGCUGUCCCCAGUUAGUGAGUUUUUGCAGCGCUACAGGAUGGACUGAGUAUUCUAAGUACCUGUACUCUACUGUAGAUCUUUUUUGGGUAAAUAGAUAGCUUUUGCCUAGUCACCUUUUUAAUAUACAGUAAUUACAUUUUAUAAUGAAGCACUAAGAAAAAGUUGGUAGGCCUUUCUUAUAAGAAAGUGGGUGCUUUGCAUGGCAAACUCCGCUCCUUCCUUUCCAGGAGGUGUUUCCUGUAGGUACAGUGAGAGGAGAUGGGGUGCAGCAGCUGAGUGGGUACAGCGCUCGCCCAAUAUUUCUCACUUGUCUUGGGGACUGACCACUAAAGGUAUGAGGUGACAUGAAUGGUAAACAAUGGCUGUGUUUAUACUACUUGUGAAGGGUAUAUUCAUCAGCCAUAAAUUGAUGUAGGUUCAGGAACUACUAUAUGUUGUGCACCCCUGACCUUUAUAGGCAGUAAUUAAAUUGGUCAGGUCUCCUAAGAGUAAUAUCUGUCUGAUCACCACUUCCUCCUCGGCUGGCUGUCUUUGUUUUAUAUGAAGCUGCCUGGGGAAGGGUAUGAGCUAGAAAUGGAGGUCUAAUCCUGAAAUUAUUUUUCUGGCUGAGACCAGAGCCCCUUUCUGGGGUUUAUGGCUUAGUUAGCCAUAACUGAAAUUAAAAUGGGGGGUUGACUUGGAACAAAAGAAAGUGGAGCCACAUCUUUGGCAGACAUGAAUUUCAGGGACCUCCUGUUUCUAGAGGAAGACUGUUAGCUGAUCUUCCCCAUAUAGCAGUGAUGGGUGUGAUUUAGAGGGAAGGGCAAUUGGUUUACUCUUAUGGCUGACGUACUGGGGUUUGUUAGACUUAAAACUCUCCAAUUAAGUCAGGAUUAUGUAAAGCUAAAACUAUGGUUUCCACCAAAAAUUUAUUUCAAGAUCAAUUCUACUAUUUUUAUGUUUAAUAAGCAUUGUAGUGGACAUGUGAUGUUAUAAGAGGAGUACAGUAAGGUGUUUGGAGGGUAAAAGUUACAGUACGUAUUGAUACCCAAAGCCUCACUCUAUUUUCCCAUUAUAAUUAUGUAUUCAUAUUUUCUCUAACAGCAAGUUCCUCACUCUUAAUACUGUACUGGGAGUCCCCGGGUUAUGAGCGAGUUAUGUUCUUGAACCCUGUUCAUAAGUCAGAACAGUGUUAAUUCCAUAAGUUACCAUAGGUUAGGUUAAAACACAACCCUGCCCAUACAAAACAACAUAAAGUAAAGUAAAAAGAAAAAAUUAUCAUUACCUUGACCCCUUGGGAUCGUGUUUGUACGUACGGGUCUUUGUAGGUCGGGCAUUUGUAUAUUUGGGACUCCCUGUAUUAUCUCUGCAGCUCCUGGGGUUGUCUAGGCCACUGCACAUUUAAUGUUGUCACCAUUUCUUUUUAUUGUACUUGUGCAGACUCCCCCACCCCCACCUCAUCAAAUUAUUUAAAAUAUGAUUUCCAGUUUAAGUAUCUUGAGUUUCUUACUUGGGGUGCACUUCUGAGGAAUAUUGGAAGGUCAUUUGGGUGGUCCCAUUAUGUGUGUACAGCAAUUAAUGUACAUGAAACACUACAUGAACAAAACAAAUGCAUAACUGAGUAAGAAACUAUUUGAUGCUGUAAACACCACAUGGGUAUUGGGAUGGCGCAGGGAACAGGAAUGCAUCAUAUAUCUGGUAACUGUGCUCCUAAUGAUGCAGUGCACUUCCCACAAUGAUUUGGCUAGGCAUGUGUUUUGAUUUCCAGAGUGGCUAAAGGCUUGACCCUUAGUUGUUCAGUGCUUAUAUUUAUGAAAUGCCCCUUGUACAGUAAAUUUUGGUUUUAAAAAGGCUAAAUCAUGCAAGAUUCCACCUGUACAAAAUGAGGGUUGUACAUUUUUGGGGAUUAUGAACUGCUGUUGUGUAUUGCUGGUCCUUGAAAUUUAAGUUUGCCUUAACAAAAUGUAUUUACAGUGUGCAUGCAAAGCAACAGUAAAAACACAAUAUCAUCGCUUCCGCGUGUCUCACCCCAAGAGAACACCCAGGGCAAUGCAUGACUUAGAUUCCAUCACUGACUGGCUCCUGCUUUCAAUAACUCCAACUCGAUGGACAUCACUCUUUUCUACAUAUUUCCUCGUCACUGAAUUCCCUUUACAAAUUCAUAAUUGCUCUCAUCAGUGAUAUUCACCUCACAUAGCCUCUUAAUCUUGGACAGGGUAAUCGAGGGGGGGAUCCCUUACACUCGAUGCUGGCAUGAGACACAGAGGGUGUGCAUCUGUCUAAAAACUUGGAACCUAGGCUGAGAGGGGUCCAAGUUGUCAACCAACAUACAGGGGGUAUUGUUCAAGAUGGGAUUCAAAAGCUUAGACAAUCAAUUGAUGAUAUGGGCAGCUUACUGUAAACUGUUAGUUGAUGAAUUUAACACAGUUAGGGUUAAUAUCUUAAUAUCUUUUGUGAUGGGUUUUUAUUGAAUAUAAAUAUUAAAUUAUAUGUGGAGAUGUUUGCAUAUUUGAUUAUAGGACUGUAUGUUAAUUAAGGUAGUCAGGCAAUGAGUUUAUCACAACAAUAUUAAUGCCACAGAUGAGGUGUUAUUAGAGAUAAACUACAGCCAUGUUAAUAAUAUACUGUACAGUGGUGUGCCAAGUAAUAGUGCCACAGGUUCUUAGAUUCACUGGCUCUCUUCAGUAUAACACCUCAUUGAAAAAGAUGGUGGUGAGGCUGCCCCAUGCCCCUAAUAAUUAGAGUGUCAUUAUGCUUCCCUUCCCUCUUUGGUGGGGGUCAUACCUGCCAUCAAACACCCCUACCAAAGUUAUAAUAAUACAGUACCCCAUCGACUUCUUCCUGGUAAGUACAGUUCAGUUUUUCAUGGUUUUCAUUUACUUUUAGAUAUAGUUUGCCUCCCUACUAAUGAAUACAUAAAAUAAAGCCUUAAUAUGUACACUCACUAACUGAGUUCUGUCACCUCUUCUGCUGCUCCAUAAAUGCUUCAGAUUCACGAGUCUGAAUAUUGGGGUUCGUGGAGCAGCAGACGAGGCGACAGGACUUACGUCAGUAACUGUACAUGUACAGUAGGUUCUCACAUGUCUUUUGUUUUAGUCAGUGAAGCUGGAAAAAUCCAACAUAUACUGUAGUAUGAUUGUUGGUGUAUUGAGUCUCUGCCAAAUCUACAGAACAUAUGUAAAGGUCAUGUGACAGCACUACGAACUAGGUGGGAGCAGGAAGCGAGUCGAGGUCAAACAGCAUUCAAAUCAUCUCAUCCCACAAUUGAAGAACUUAGAAGUCGCAUGAAUAACAAUGGU